CACGUAGGGCGCAAGCGUUGUCCGGAAUUAUUGGGCGUAAAGAGCUCGUAGGCGGCCUGUCGCGUCGGAUGUGAAAGCCCGGGGCUUAACCCCGGGUCUGCAUUCGAUACGGGCAGGCUAGAGUGUGGUAGGGGAGAUCGGAAUUCCUGGUGUAGCGGUGAAAUGCGCAGAUAUCAGGAGGAACACCGGUGGCGAAGGCGGAUCUCUGGGCCAUUACUGACGCUGAGGAGCGAAAGCGUGGGGAGCGAACAGG
rnacentral:rRNA from 1 species